rnacentral:rRNA from 1 species
CGCAUGGUGGAUGCCUUGGCACUAGGAGCCGAUGAAGGACGUGACUAACUGCGAUAAGCUUCGGGGAGUUGUAAGUAAACUGUGAUCCGGAGAUUUCCGAAUGGGGAAACCCAACAGGAGUAAAGACCUGUUAUCACUGAGUGAAUACAUAGCUCAGUUGAAGGUAGACGUGGGGAACUGAAACAUCUAAGUACCCAUAGGAAGAGAAAGAAAAUUCGAUUCCCUGAGUAGCGGCGAGCGAAAAGGGAACAGCCCAAACCAAGAAGCUUGCUUCUUGGGGUUGUAGGACUGGACAUUUGAGUUACCAAGAAACGAAGUAGUUGAAUGAUUUGGGAAGAUCAGCCAGAGAAGGUGAUAGCCCUGUAAGCGAAACUUCGUUUCCUCAGCCCAGUAUCCUGAGUACGGCGGAACACGUGAAACUCCGUCGGAAUCCGGGAGGACCAUCUCCCAAGGCUAAAUACUCCCUAGUGACCGAUAGUGAACCAGUACCGUGAGGGAAAGGUGAAAAGCACCCCGGGAGGGGAGUGAAAUAGUUCCUGAAACCAUGUGCCUACAAGUAGUCAGAGCCCGUUAAUGGGUGAUGGCGUGCCUUUUGUAGAAUGAACCGGCGAGUUACGUUAGCGUGCGAGGUUAAGGCGCAAAGGCCGGAGCCGUAGCGAAAGCGAGUCUGAAUAGGGCGAAUGAGUACGUUGACGUAGACCCGAAACCAGGUGACCUACCCAUGUCCAGGUUGAAGGUGCGGUAAGACGCACUGGAGGACCGAACCCGUGUAUGUUAAAAAAUGCUGGGAUGAGGUGUGGGUAGAGGUGAAAUUCCAAACGAACUUGGAGAUAGCUGGUUCUCUCCGAAAUAGCUUUAGGGCUAGCCUCGGAGUUAAGGAUCGUGGAGGUAGAGCACUGUUUGGACUAGGGGCCCGUCUUGGGUUACUGAAUUCAGAUAAACUCCGAAUGCCACAGAUCUAUAUCCGGGAGUCAGACUGCGAGUGAUAAGAUCCGUAGUCGAAAGGGAAACAGCCCAGACCACCGAUUAAGGUCCCUAAAUAUGUGUUAAGUGGAAAAGGAUGUGGAAUUGCACAGACAACUAGGAUGUUGGCUUAGAAGCAGCCACCAUUUAAAGAGUGCGUAAUAGCUCACUAGUCGAGUGAUCCUGCGCCGAAAAUGUAACGGGGCUAAACACAUUACCGAAAUCGUGGAUGCAACUAUGUUGCAUGGUAGGAGAGCGUUCUAAGGGCGAUGAAGCUAGACCGUAAGGACUGGUGGAGCGCUUAGAAGUGAGAAUGCCGGUAUGAGUAGCGAAAGAUCAGUGAGAAUCUGGUCCACCGUAUGACUAAGGUUUCCUGGGGAAGGCUCGUCCUCCCAGGGUUAGUCGGGACCUAAGCCGAGGCCGAGAGGCGUAGGCGAUGGAUAACAGGUUGAGAUUCCUGUACUGGUUUGAUUUGUUUGAACGAUGGAGGGACGCAGGAGGCUAGAGAUGCGUGCUGUUGGAUAUGCACGUCCAAGCAACAAGUCUGAUGAUGAGUCAAAUGCUUAUCGUCUUAAGGACAAGUUGUGACGGGGAGCGAAAUUAAAGUAGCGAAGUGAUCGAUGUCACACUGCCGAGAAAAGCUUCUAGUUAGAAUCAGACCACCCGUACCGCAAACCGACACAGGUAGUCGAGGCGAGUAGCCUAAGGUGAGCGAGAGAACUCUCGUUAAGGAACUCGGCAAAAUGACCCCGUAACUUCGGGAGAAGGGGUGCUGCACAAUGUGCAGCCGCAGUGAAUAGGCCCAGGCGACUGUUUAUCAAAAACACAGGUUUCUGCAAAAUCGUAAGAUGAAGUAUAGGGGCUGACGCCUGCCCGGUGCUGGAAGGUUAAGAGGAUGGGUUAGCGUAAGCGAAGCUCAGAAUUGAAGCCCCAGUAAACGGCGGCCGUAACAAUAACGGUCCUAAGGUAGCGAAAUUCCUUGUCAGGUAAGUUCUGACCCGCACGAAUGGCGUAAUGACUUGGGCACUGUCUCAACUGUAAAUCCGGCGAAGUUGUAGUGCGAGUGAAGAUGCUCGCUACCCGCGAUUGGACGGAAAGACCCCGUAGAGCUUUACUGUAGCUUAGCAUUGAGUUUUGGUAUUGUCUGUACAGGAUAGGUGGGAGACUAGGAAACCAGGGCGUCAGCCUUGGUGGAGUCAACCUUGGGAUACCACCCUGACAGUACUGAAAUUCUAACUGGCGGCCAUGAAUCUGGUCACAGGACAUUGUUAGGUGGGCAGUUUGACUGGGGCGGUCGCCUCCUAAAAGGUAACGGAGGCGCCCAAAGGUUCCCUCAGCGCGGCCGGAAAUCGCGCGAAGAGUGUAAAGGCAGAAGGGAGCUUGACUGAGAGCCAAACACGGCAAUCAGGUACGAAAGUAGGGCUUAGUGAUCCGGUGGCAUCCAAGUGGAAGGGCCAUCGCUCAACGGAUAAAAGCUACCCUGGGGAUAACAGGCUUAUCUCCCCCAAGAGUCCACAUCGACGGGGAGGUUUGGCACCUCGAUGUCGGCUCAUCGCAUCCUGGGGCUGUAGUCGGUCCCAAGGGUUGGGCUGUUCGCCCAUUAAAGCGGCACGCGAGCUGGGUUCAGAACGUCGUGAGACAGUUUGGUCUCUAUCCUCUGCGCUCGUUGGAAUGCUGAGGAGGCCUGCCCAUAGUACGAGAGGACCUGGGUGGACGAACCUCUGGUAUGCCGGUUGUCACGCCAGUGGCACGGCCGGUUGGCUACGUUCGGAAGGGAUAACCGCUGAAAGCAUCUAAGCGGGAAGCCUGCUCCAAGAUAAGCAUUCCGUGCAGCCUCGAGCUGCUGUAGUCCCCAUGCAGAACACGUGGUCGAUAGGCCGGACGUGGAAGCCCCGCGAGGGGUGGAGCCGACCGGUACUAACGGACGAAAGGCAAC